AUGUGUGUGUGUUUUGUGUGUGUGUGUGGAGAGUAUGUAUGUGUGGAGUGUGUAAGUGUGUCGGAUGUGGGUACACGCAUGGAGGGAGCAGCCAGGAACACGUUGAGGAGUGGGUGCACCCCAUGGCAACAGACCCGGGAGCUCUGCCCGCAGCAUGAGCCUCCAAGGAGACCAAGGCAAAGGAAGCCAGCACCUUCCCACCCCACUCACGGGGGACUUGCCGAGGGGCCCUUCCCACCCCGACUGCUGCCGUCUCUGCAGAGCUCUCCUUCCGGGUGUGGAUGUGCGGCGGGAGCUUGGAGAUCGUGCCCUGCAGCCGCGUGGGCCACGUCUUCAGGAAGCGGCACCCCUACAACUUCCCUGAGGGCAACGCCCUCACCUACAUCAGGAAUACCAAGCGCACUGCAGAGGUGUGGAUGGAUGAAUACAAGCAGUAUUACUACGAGGCCCGGCCCUCAGCCAUCGGGAAGGCCUUCGGCAGGUGGGUCCCUCCCCCAGUCCCCCUUUGCCUUCUGCCACAACCUUAGCAAAACACGAAAUCGUGUGUAAGCCAGGGAAGCGUUCAGCAUCUGCUUAGUAACUGGGCUCCAUGCCGCUGGGCUCUUGGGGCCCUGAAGGGAUAGACAGACAAGGUUCUGGUUCUUGGGGUGGAUGUAGCCUUGUGGGGGGACGCAACCAGACAGGGCUCACUUAGGAAGUGCGGCCCAGCUGCUGGCUGCCUGCAGGACAGACAUCUGUGCGAGUACUUAAGACUGACUCGCUGCAGAAAAAACUGGGGGUUUUGGCUCUACCACUUGCUGUUCAAAACCUGAUGGUGCUCUGUUAGCCAGUUUUUCUGCCCUGGACUGUUACGACUACAGACUAGUUAAGUAGUUUCAAGAUGCAGAUUGGGGAGUUCCCGUCAUGGCACAGUGGUUAACAAAUCUGACUAGGAACCAUGAGGUUGCGGGUUCGAUCCCUGGCCUUGCUCAGCGGGUAAAGGAUCCGGUGUUGCUGUGGCUCUGGCGUAGGCUGGUGGCUACAGCUCUAAUUCGACCACUAGCCUGGGAACCUCCAUAUGCUGCAAGAGCAGCCCAAGAAAUGGCAAAAAGACAAAAAAAAAAAAAAAAAAAAAAAAAAAAGGGAUCCUGAGUUGCUGUGAGGUGUGGUGUAGGUUGCAGACGUGGCUGGGAUCCGCAUUGCUGUGGCUGUGGCGUAGGCUGGCAGCAACAGCUCCAAUUAGCCCCCUAGCCUGGGAACCUCCAUAUGCCACAGGAGCGGCCCUAUAAAAGACAAAAAAAAAAAAUGCAGAUUGGUUGUGAAACCAAUUUAGUGGGUUGGAGCUAGUAUUUUUUUCUUAAGUGAUCGAAAACUAGAACAUUACAGAUUAGUACAGAACAGAAAGUAGCAGUUGACUGCAGUUAAGGAUAGGUAUUGUUUUUUCUUUAUAAUUCAAUGAAUUUUAUUACAUUUAUAGUUGUACAGCCAUCAUCAAAGGAUAGGUAUUUUUUUAAUGGAACUUUUUUCUUUUUU
rnacentral:lncRNA from 1 species